CGUUUUGAAUUUAAAAAGUUUUAACCUGCCCACUGAUUGGAACAAAAAUUAAAUGGCCGCGGUAUAUUGACCGUGCAAAGGUAGCAUAAUCGUUAGUUUUUUAAUUGGAAUCUUGUAUGAAUGGUUGGACAAAAGAAAAUCUGUCUUUAUAUUAUUAAUUGAAUUUAACUUUUAAGUGAAAAGGCUUAAAUGGAUUAAAGUGACGAUAAGACCCUAUAAAGCUUUAUAUAGAUAUAUUAUUUAAUUAAAUUUUUAAUAAAAAUUUAGUAGUAAAAUUUAUUUUAUUGGGGCGAUAAGAGUAAAAUUUUUAUUAACUGCUUUAAGUUUUGAAUACAUUUAUGUUUGAUUAAAAUUUUAAAUGAUCCUAAAUAAAGAUUAAAAGUUUAAGUUACUUUAGGGAUAACAGCGUUAUUUUUUUUGAGAGUACUUAUCGAAAAAAAAGUUUGCGACCUCGAUGUUGAAUUAAAAUUUCUUUAUAAUUGCAGAAGUUAUAAAAGUAGGUCUGUUCGACCUUUAAAAUUUUACAUGAUCUGAUUCCAAAACGGGGA
rnacentral:rRNA from 1 species